rnacentral:tRNA from 1 species
GCCUAGGUGGCUCAGUCAGUUGAGCACCCAACUUCAGCUAGGGUCAUGAUCUCACAGUUUGUGGGUUCGAGCCACACAUUGGGCA